GUGCCACAAUGGCGCUCAGCCGCCUUCCUUGCCGAGCUGAAAGAUAAGGUGGGGAGGUGCACCACUCCGGUAGUGGUGGCCGAGGACUUCAACCUCAUUAGGUGGGCUUCUUAUAAAAGCUCGCCUAAUGUUGAUCGGGUUCGCAUGCGUCUAUUCAAUGACUGCAUUGUGGACCUUGUGCUUCGUGAGAUAGCCCGCGUAGGGGCUAGGUUCACUUGGACGAAUAAGCAGUCGGACCCCAUCCGGAGUGUCUUAGAUCGGGUCUUUGUGUCGGCCCAGCGGGAAGUGGUGUUCCCAUUGUGCUCACUCAAA
rnacentral:rRNA from 1 species